UACGUAGGUGGCAAGCGUUGUCCGGAAUUAUUGGGCGUAAAGCGCGCGCAGGCGGCCUUUUAAGUCUGAUGUGAAAGCCCACGGCUCAACCGUGGAAGGUCAUUGGAAACUGAAAGGCUUGAGUACAGAAGAGGAAAGCGGAAUUCCACGUGUAGCGGUGAAAUGCGUAGAGAUGUGGAGGAACACCAGUGGCGAAGGCGGCUUUCUGGUCUGUAACUGACGUUGAGGCGCGAAAGCGUGGGGAGCAAACAGG
rnacentral:rRNA from 1 species